UUGUCUUGAAAAAACCAAAAACCAAAAAAAGC
rnacentral:piRNA from 1 species